CCGAACAUGCCAAAAGUAUUUUCCUAGGUAUCUUCUUCCUAAGAAUCUGCUUCCCAAAAAUUAUAUUCCUAGGAGGAAAAAUGCUUCCCGCGAACCAAACGAGCCCUUAAGGUUGCCUUUUCAUCUUCUUGCACCUAUAUAUACUAGAGAAACUAGAUUUUUCUUUUUUUUGGUGAAACGACUGCUCACAUUUCUCUAUUACGAGCACAGCCAGCUACAUCAGCAUCAAGCAAACAACACAAAGCAAAAGGAACAAAAGACUGCUGCAUCCAGAGAAGGUCUCCGGAGUGGUGCGCAAUGAAGGAGGCGAUCUAGCCAGUAGCCUGGUUCGCCUUCCGUAAGACAUGUCUUUAGAGAACCCGAUACUUCCGUAGUAUCCGACGAAUGUCGCCCAGAAGCAGGUGCUCCACCUCCUUCCGCGCCUUCUCUUUCAGAUGCGCCAUCAGGAAAGCUGAAUCUGCUUCCAAAACGGUGCAACCAGCCUGCAGAACAUAUUCCGCAUAAUAAGAAAGAGCCUCUGUAAAUCCCUAAGAAAUCGAUUCUAAAUUAUUGCCACGUAAGUGCCGUGACAUGA
rnacentral:lncRNA from 1 species